rnacentral:rRNA from 1 species
UACGUAGGGUGCAAGCGUUAAUCGGAAUUACUGGGCGUAAAGCGUGCGCAGGCGGUGAUGUAAGACAGGUGUGAAAUCCCCGGGCUUAACCUGGGAACUGCAUUUGUGACUGCAUCGCUGGAGUGCGGCAGAGGGGGAUGGAAUUCCACGUGUAGCAGUGAAAUGCGUAGAUAUGUGGAGGAACACCGAUGGCGAAGGCAGCCCCCUGGGAUAACACUGACGCUCAUGCACGAAAGCGUGGGGAGCAAACAGG